rnacentral:tRNA from 1 species
AAGGAUUUAAGUUAAUAAAACUAAUAGCCUUCAAAGCUCUAAUUGAUCACACAUCAAUCCUUA